UUGCUCUUCAACGAGGAAUACCUAGUAAGCGUGAGUCAUCAGCUCGCGUUGAAUUCGUCCCUGCCCUUUGUACACACCGCCCGUCGCUACUACCGAUUGAAUGGCUUAGUGAGGUAUCCGGAUUGGCAUCUGGGAGCCGGAAACGGCACCUAGUCGCUGAGAAGUUUAACGAACUUGGUCAUUUAGAGGAAGUAAAAGCCGUAACAAGGUUUCCGUAGGUGAACCUGCGGAAGGAUCAUUAAUGAAAUGUUAGGACGCUCUUUUUAGAGGUCCGACCAACUCAUUUUACCUUUCACACUGUGCACAUCACUACUUUUUUACACCCAUUUUUAAACACUUAUAAAGUCUAAGAAUGUAAACCAGUCUCUUAAUUGAGCAUAAACAUAAACAAAACUUUCAGCAACGGAUCUCUUGGCUCUCCCAUCGAUGAAGAACGCAGCGAAAUGCGAUACGUAAUGUGAAUUGCAGAAUUCAGUGAAUCAUCGAAUCUUUGAACGCACCUUGCACUCUUUGGUAUUCCGAAGAGUAUGUCUGUUUGAGUGUCAUGAAACUCUCAACCCCCUUGUUUUGUAAUGAAACGAGUUGUGGGCUUGGAUUAUGGCUGCUGCCGGCUUUCGUUAGUCGACUCGGCUCAAAUACACGAGCUACCCCGAUUUCUAUUAAGAAACAGACGGUUCGACUCGGCGUAAUAACUAUUUCGCUGAGGACGUCACAUUCUUAUGUAUACAGAAUCUUAGUGGUGCUUCUAAUGCGUCUGUUCAGUCAGACAACCUUAAGCUUUAGACCUCAAAUCAGUCAGGACUACCCGCUGAACUUAAGCAUAUCAAUAAGCGGAGGA
rnacentral:rRNA from 1 species